UACGGAGGGGGCGAGCGUUAUUCGGAAUUAUUGGGCGUAAAGGGCGCGUAGGCGGCCCGGUAAGUCAAAGGUGAAAUCCCUCGGCUCAACUGAGGAACUGCCUUUGAAACUGUCGGGCUUGAGGCCGGGGAGGGGGGUAGCGGAAUUCCCAGUGUAGCGAUGAAAUGCGUAGAUACUGGGAGGAACACCAGUGGCGAAGGCGGCUACCUGGACCGGUUCUGACGCUGAUGCGCGAAAGCGUGGGUAGCAAACAGG
rnacentral:rRNA from 1 species